AGGGAAGGCGGGCGGCAGGCCUAACACAUGCAAGUCGAGCGGAUGAAGGGAGCUUGCUCCUGGAUUCAGCGGCGGACGGGUGAGUAAUGCCUAGGAAUCUGCCUGGUAGUGGGGGAUAACGUCCGGAAACGGGCGCUAAUACCGCAUACGUCCUGAGGGAGAAAGUGGGGGAUCUUCGGACCUCACGCUAUCAGAUGAGCCUAGGUCGGAUUAGCUAGUUGGUGGGGUAAAGGCCUACCAAGGCGACGAUCCGUAACUGGUCUGAGAGGAUGAUCAGUCACACUGGAACUGAGACACGGUCCAGACUCCUACGGGAGGCAGCAGUGGGGAAUAUUGGACAAUGGGCGAAAGCCUGAUCCAGCCAUGCCGCGUGUGUGAAGAAGGUCUUCGGAUUGUAAAGCACUUUAAGUUGGGAGGAAGGGCAGUAAGUUAAUACCUUGCUGUUUUGACGUUACCAACAGAAUAAGCACCGGCUAACUUCGUG
rnacentral:rRNA from 1 species